CUAUCGAUUGCACUAUCGAUAGUAUCGAUGGUUUUUGACUAUCAAAAACAUUGGUGGUUUUGUAAGCACUAUCGAUGGUUUUCACUCAUACAUGCAUUAUGAGU